UAUUGACCUCGGGGGAGCCCUUUGUGGCUGAGAGGGAUGUACUGUUACAUCCGACCCCUCGAACCUGAUCCGGGUAAUGCCGGCGUAGGGAGAUGGUGCAAGGCAAAA
rnacentral:ncRNA from 2 species